rnacentral:pre_miRNA from 1 species
GUCGCGAGGUGGAGACAACGAGUCCUUGAAAUUACCGGCUGAGAACAGAAAAUAACCACUCAGCUGGUAUAUCAGGAUCGUUUCCUGCAUCCGUGAGCACUCG